GCUCCAGUGGCACAAUCGGUUAGCGCGUCGUACUUAUAAUGCGAAGGUUGAGAGUUCGAGCCUCUCCUGGAGCA